GACGAACGCUGGCGGCGCGCUUAACACAUGCCAGUCGAACGGAAAGGCCUGCUUUCCCUUGUGGAUUGCGGGUACUCGAGUGGCGAACGGGUGAGUAACACGUGAGUGAUCUGCCCCCAACUUGGGUAUAAGCCUGGGAAACUGGGUCUAAUUCCCGAUAAGACUGCAGGGUGGUGCCUGUGGUGGAAAACGAUUUUCUAGUGGUUGGGGAUGAGCUCGCGGCCUAUCAGCUUGUUGGUGGGGUAAUGGCCUACCAAGGCGGCGACGGGUAGCCGGCCUGAGAGGGUGGACGGCCACAUUGGGACUGAGAUACGGCCCAGACUCCUACGGGAGGCAGCAGUGGGGAAUAUUGCACAAUGGGCGGAAGCCUGAUGCAGCGACGCCGCGUGGGGGAUGACGGCCUUCGGGUGGUAAACUCCUUUCGACCGCGAGGAAGCCACCUGGUUGGAAGGGUGGUGACGGUAGUGGUAGAAGAAGCACCGGCUAACUACGUG
rnacentral:rRNA from 1 species